CAUUCCUUACCCAUUCUAUAAUUAGCUCAGCUGUUACAGUUGUUUUGACCCUACAUGUUCAUUUGAUCCUCAUCAGCACAGAUGCAGUAAUUUAGUUUGACUGCAUGCAGUCCCCCAGCUAGGAUUGAAUGCUCCUUGCUACACUUAAAGGGAGAAGCAGAAUAGGGGUGAGCAGGUUAUUCCUAGAUCAUGGAAAGUACAUGCUGCAGUAAUCCUAAAAUGUCCUUCCAAAUCCAAAAUGUGGGUUUCAGUGAAAGGGGAGAGAGGUGCAGAAACAGUGAAAAGAAAAUAGCAGGAGACCUUCUACAUGUAGCAUGUGGAGCAGAGUCAAGGGUUGGAGUGAGGAAACAUGACUGAGAGGUGUUUGAAGAGCUAAUUGGAAGGGGAAUGGGAAUACUGUCACAGUCAGCUGUGGGCAAGAGCCUUCCACCGGAGCAGUGCAGGCAGUGGGACACCAAAGGCUGGUGGUAUCACAAUAAGGGGGUGAAGGUACCACAAAGGAGGAAAAUGGAAGAGCAGGUCUUGGAAACAAAGUUUUGGAAACAAGUAUGGAAACUUGGAAACAAGUUAUUACAGAGAGAAUCCUGAUUUUUACGCUUGGUGAAGCCAAUUUCAUAAAAGUGUUUCUGUACGCAAAGGCUCAUCUGUAUUGUGUUUGCAUAGAUGUGUAAGGAAUAGCAGCCAGAAUUGCCAAAUGCAGGUGGGGACAGAUGAGAAAGGCUAAAGGGGUAUAUUAAUUCUGUGCAGUCAGCUGCAUUGGAGGUGCAAAUGAGGACAAGAAUGAAGCACGCAUGCUCAUGUCAAAAGG
ensembl:lncRNA